UUCCUGUAGUUGAAUGACAACGGUGUUUCUUCAAGUCACUGGUCUCGGUUAAAGUCCGAGUGGGAAUU
rnacentral:tRNA from 1 species